rnacentral:rRNA from 1 species
ACUGCGUCCUCGAGAUGCUGGCGGAAGGCGUCUCAUCUGCCCGUCUUGAAACACGGACCAAGGAGUCUAACGUGUAUGCGAGCUGGUGGGUGGCAAACCCACGAAGCGCAAGGAACCUGACUGGUGCGAUGGCUCGAGCCUGCAGCAUCGACCUCUCUGGAUCUUGUGUGAUGGAUGAGAGUACGAGUAUACACGCUGGGACCCGAAAGAUGGUGAACUAUGCCUGAGCAGGGCGAAGCCAGAGGAAACUCUGGUGGAGGCUCGUAGAUGUGCUGACGUGCAAAUCGCUUUUCGGACUUGGGUAUAGGGGCGAAAGACUAAUCGAACCAUCUAGUAGCUGGUUCCCUCCGAAGUUUCCCCCAGGAUAGCUGGAGCUCGUGAUCAGUUGUAUCAGGUAAAGCGAAUGAUUAGAGGUUUUGGGGAUGAAACAUCUUCGACCUAUUCUCAAACUUUAAAUAGGUACGAUGCCUGGGUUGCUUGAGUGAACCCCGGCGACUAAUGAGAGCUCCAAGUGGGCCAUUUUUGGUAAGCAGAACUGGCGAUGCGGGAUGAACCGAUAGUCGAGUUAAGGCGCCCAAAUGCGCGCUAACCUAGAUCCCACAAAGGGUG